rnacentral:rRNA from 1 species
UACGUAGGGUGCGAGCGUUGUCCGGAAUUAUUGGGCGUAAAGAGCUCGUAGGCGGUCUGUCGCGUCGAUCGUGAAAACUUGGGGCUUAACCCUGAGCUUGCGGUCGAUACGGGCACUGACUGGAGUUCGGCAGGGGAGACUGGAAUUCCUGGUGUAGCGGUGAAAUGCGCAGAUAUCAGGAGGAACACCGGUGGCGAAGGCGGGUCUCUGGGCCGAUACUGACGCUGAGGAGCGAAAGCAUGGGGAGCGAACAGG